rnacentral:rRNA from 1 species
UGGAAGUAAAAGUUCGUAACAAGGUUUCCGUAGGUGAACCUGCGGAAGGAUCAUUAUCCAUCUUAACCAGGUGCGUUCGCGGCCCUCGAGGGUUCUCUCUCGGGUGGUAGGGGUAACACCCUCACGCGUCGCAUUUCUGAAUCCUUUUUUUACGAGCACCUUUCGUUCUCCUUCGGUGGGGCAACCUGCCGCUGGAACUUAACAAAACCUUUUUUUGCAUCUAGCAUUACCUGUUCUGAUACAAACAAUCGUUACAACUUUCAACAAUGGAUCUCUUGGCUCUGGCAUCGAUGAAGAACGCAGCGAAAUGCGAUAAGUAGUGUGAAUUGCAGAAUUCAGUGAAUCAUCGAAUCUUUGAACGCACAUUGCGCCCCUUGGUAUUCCAUGGGGCAUGCCUGUUCGAGCGUCAUCUACACCCUCAAGCUCUGCUUGGUGUUGGGCGUCUGUCCCGCCUCUGUGCGUGGACUCGCCCCAAAUGCAUUGGCAGCGGUCCUUGCCUCCUCUCGCGCAGCACAAUUGCGUUUCUUGAGGUGUGCGGCUCGCAUCCACAAAGCAACCAUCGUCUUUGACCUCGGAUCAGGUAGGGAUACCCGCUGAACUUAAGCAUAUCAAUUAAGCGGAGG